rnacentral:piRNA from 1 species
UAGUUUUGCCAUCCAUAGGCAGCUGUGUU